GAUUAUCAACAUGUUAGCUUAGAUAUAUAUUCUGUUCAUUGAUUUCUAAAUGGUUAUAAAAGUGUCCCCACUUGGAUAAUCAUGACAUUUAUUCACAUGUUGAUACAUUUUUUUCAAUUACCCGUAUACAUAUAUGUUGAAUUACAUAUUAUUGUUGAGCAAGAUUAAAAACCUUCGGGUUUGGAACCAGGCAUGUAUGAACAUCCCUAUAUGGGAAAAUUUUUGCGCCCGAGGCGGACAGAAUAAAACGAUGAAUUUCGUUCAGAGUUAUGUAGUAUUGAUCAAUACAGGGUACAACGGGGCUAAUCACCCUCCGUACCCGUAAGCUAGAACGGUUUGCGGAUGGAUUUCUGCCAAACCUUUUUGAAAAUGAAAAAUAAUGUUCAUUGUAUGUUUCUUAAACCCUAUUCAUGGGUAGAGCCAGAGCCAAAUUUAAAUAAUUUGGAAGAGAGUUGUUAUGUGAAUUUUUUAUCAAUACAGAUUACUUCACAACUUUCGAUUCGUUGUAGAAGUG
rnacentral:lncRNA from 1 species